AAUUGUUGAACAUUACAUGGCUUGUUAGUGCUCCAUAUCUUGAGGAACUUACUGUUGGAGAUUGUGAAUCAAUAGAACAAUUGAUAUGUUAUGGAGUAGAGGAAAAAUUGGACAUAUUCUCAAGGCUCAAAUACCUUAAGCUCAACGAGCUGCCAAAAUUGAAGAGCAUCUACCAGUAUUCGCUGCUCUUUUCCUCACUUGAAAUCUUGAAGGUGUAUGAUUGCAAAAGCUUAAGGAGCCUCCCAUUCGAUUCCAAUACUUAACAAUAAUCUAAAGAAAAUUAAAGGAGAGACAAGUUGGUGGAAUCAAUUGGAGUGAAUCGAUGAAACUAUCAAGUAUUCUUUUACUCCAUAUUUCCGAAUCGACCAAGCUGAAGCAUACUUAACUGAGGAGUCCGAAACUGGUGGCAUAGAUGAUAUACAAGAGCAAUUGAUAUCAAAUUAAUUUCUUUCAGGUAUUAAUUAACUUUUAUGCUAUAUUUGAAAAAUAAUUUUUUUCCACACUCCCCAUUCAUUUGUGGAAAUUUUUACUUUACCGAUGUCAAAGUGCAUCAAAGUCUCAACAUCAUAGUAACUUUCAAUGUUUGAUGUAUAUGGACUACUUCCAUAAUUUUCAGCCUAAUCUUAAUAAUUUUGGUGUGGUUAUAAUUUUUUUCUUUUUUAUUUUUCUUUUUCGUCCUUCUAAUCUUAAGCCUUCAUUUUGAUGACAAACAUAAUUAAGAAAGGAAAAAAAAAAUGUAAGAAAUCCAAAUCUAAAUCUAUAUAUAUAUAUAUUUUUAUCUCUAUCUGAUUGGCUCUGAUCAGUUUUUGCCUUUUUUUUUUUUUUCAUUUCUCUUUUUGUUGCAUUCAAGGUUGGGCCUUGUUCUAGCAGUUCUAGCAACAGCCGGGUUUUGAUCGUUUUUAUAUAGACUGUGUUGUUGGAACUCCAUUUUGCUUGUAUCCAAUUAUUAGACAGGAAUCGCAUGUUGAAUCAUAUGAAGAAAUUAUGCCAAACAUUUCUAUAGAAAGGGAACAUACAGAAUCUGAACUAACCUGAUUCCAUUUUGAGUGUUGAAUGAAUAAGGUAUGGAUCUUCUAAGGCUGUGGAGGGCACCACCUCUUUCUGAAUUCUCUCUGACGAUGGAGCAGGAGAGAAAACAAGUCUAUUAUUAUUUCAAGUGAUGUGAUUAGACUGAACAGACACUUAGCCUUUGGUUUUAUACCCUCCUGCCUUAGGGACCAUACCCUUUGGCUAUUGGGCCUCACGAGUCUUAGGCCCAUCAUCUAAGGCCCGUGAUGGCAAUGGGCUGUACACAUAAGGUGACCCAUACUAUGGAAAAUUGAUACAAAAUAAAUAUCAAAAGGCGAAUAGCUUAGUCAUGUAUCAUUGUUAAAUAUGUGUGAGUCCAUAUCUUAACAUGUGUUGUUGUUGUUUUUGCUGAUGGUUGAUGUCCUGCUCUUUUUCCUUCUACUUAGUAUUUGGGUUUGGUCUGAGGUCGAUCUAGGUAUGUUUGAUCAGAGAGGCAUAAAUGCUUAUUCUCGGAGCAUUGAUAUUUCAUGGUGCUGAGACUGCUGGGAAGGUUGGUGUACUUAUGAUGGUUGCAUCAUCCUUUUUGUUUCUGGAUCUCAGGAAUUGGAUUCUGUGGGCUGCCUUUGGCUUUUGAUGUUGGGUGGGUUUUGUUUUGUUAAUUUGUUGAGGCUGGUGCAGUGUGGUGGAUCUGAAGCUGCUAGUAUGCUGCUGCUGGGUCAAUGUCAAUGUGAUAUGGGAAUGCUUUUGGGUCUUUGGGCUUCAGCUGGUUGCUUGUGUUUCCUCUGCUUACAAAUGUUUUAUCACCAGAUCCUAUGUGGAGAUGGGAUGGAUUGUUUUAAUAGUGAUGGUGUGAGGGUGUGAUAUAAUCCUGUCAACAGAGCCACAUGCUUUGGUUCAUAUACCAGAGCACUGCAUACUUGAGUUUGAUAUCAUAUCCCACUCCCAAAGUGUGUCGUGCAUAAUGUAAUGUAAACAAGUUUCAACUUUCAUCCAUUGUGGAUUGAAAUGUUUAAUUUGGGAGAAAAACUGGUUGAUUUGUAACAUUUGAGGGUGUUAAUGGUGAUUUUUCUUAUUAUUAAUUGUGAUUGAAAAGAAAGUUGAUGAACAAGGUGGAAGUAUAAGCAGAGAGUUCUGAGGACUCCUAAUGUGGUACAUUUUCUCAAGCAUAUUUCUUCCCCAAUAAAAAGGAAAACUUGGGUUCACUUGUGCGAUGGUUUUGGCAGUUGGCACUAACUGAUCAAUGAAAGAGAGAUCCAGGUUUAUCACUGAUGAAUUAAAAUGCUUUGUUAUUGUUGCUUAGUUAAAAAAGUUGCGGUUCAGUUUGCUAAUCUAUUGAUAUCUGUUGCAGUGAUUCUGCUGCUGAUGAACAUCAAAGACAAUCAAUAGGUGCAGGUGAUGCCAUCUCAUCUGCUCAAUCAUCUCAAGUAUUACAGCCUGCUCGCUCAGGGGCCAGGGGACGUGCUUCAAUGGCUGAUAUUGUGAGGAGGGGCAGACCAGGGACCAGGAGACAUGUUUCAAUGGCUGAUGUUGUAGGGAUGGGCGGACCUGGUGCCAAUACUUCCAGCCUGCCAAUUACGUCAACUGGAACUUCUCCCCCUCUUGUUGGGGCAGUACCAGAACAAUGUGGUGUGCCCAAUACUUCCAGCCCGCUAAUUACAUUAGAUGAAACUUGUUUCCCACCUCUUGGAAGAACACCAAAACGAUCCUCUUACCGUGUCACUACUCCCUUUGUUCUGCCACCAGUGGAGGCAGAACCACACCAAGAUUUGCAUUCUCCAAAUCCUUGGUAUGUGUUGGAGAUAAGUCAUGACUCAUGAGCCUUGCAUUACUGAUGAAUGGCCCACCACUGAUUAGCCAACAGCACAUAAUGGCUUUUUUAGGUGGCUCACCUGCCUUAGAAACAGAGAUAUUCUAACCCAUCUAACUUGUACAGUGAUACAGCUGAAAUGUCCCAGGACUGCCGGCCAGAUGAGGUCCAAGCAUCUGUAUCCAGUGAACAGUGGGCAGAGUAUAGCGCUGCAGGUGCGUCUUAUAGAGCUUGCCAACGAGACUGUAGUACAGGUUUAAAAAAGGUCAGGCGGUCUAGAAAGUUAAAAUGAAGGCGACCAUAGGUUAUGUCAAUACACAAGACCAUACAAACGGCCAUUGUUUCUAUAUUUUGUUAUUUGUUUUUAAUGUGAUUGGUUCCCUAGAAAAUCUGAUGUGACCCUGGUUCAUGAUGCCCAAAAUGGAAAUCAUGCGAGUCCAUGUGGAUGGGUCUAUAUUUAUCACUCUUUUGAAAAUUCAUCACCCAUCAAAAUGAUCAAAUUUCAUAAUCUAAGCUUGAAAAUACAUCUUAUCAUUUGCCUUCUCACUCUCAAAAAUUCAAAAUAAAAAAUUCCACAUAAUCAAUACAUUUUGGAUUUUAAUUAUUUUAAUCCAUUCUAUCUUCAUUAUCUAAGUCCAACUUCUACUGUCAGUAAAAGUAAAACUUCAUUUCAGGAAGAGAGAAAUUGAUAAGUUUUAACAAAUAAGUUUAAAUACAUUUUUUAUUUUUAUUUAAUUUAAAAUUUUAUAUAACAUACCAAAAUUUUAAAAUGUUUAUAUUAAAAAUAUAAUGACUUAAAAUUAUUUAAAAAAUGAGAUAUCAAAAAAAUUAUUAUCUUAAAUUUAAAAAAUUAAUGUAAUUUUUUUAUAAAAAAAAAAACAUAAUAUAAAAAAUAUAUAUUGGAGGAGCAGAAUAAUUGAGAGAGAAGCAACAAAACGUUAAGUACAAAGUGGGGAAAUGCAACUAAUGAAGUGGGUCCAAAAGGUUGAAAGAUAAGAGGAUACCUUAACAAUGUCAUUUGGGCAACAUUAAGUUAAUUGAUCCUAAUCAAUGCAAAAUACCAUGAAUCUAAAGUUCACAUCAUAGCAACAUAGAGAGGGAGUUCAAUUUCAAUACAAAAUACAAAAAGUGUAAAACUAGAUAUUAAUAUUAAGACAUCAUACUAAUUAAAUAAGUUUCAUUUUUGUCAAAAAAAUAUAUAUAUAUCUAGUUCCCAAAAAUAUCAAGGAAAAAAAUAUAAAAAAUAUUUUUCUUCAUAUUUGGUUUUACUAUGAUAAAUUCGAGAUAAAAUCAAAUAUAAUUGAAAUUUUAAAUAUUUUAAAUUAUUUAAUCUUUAUAUAAAAAUAAAGUUAAAAUAAGUGAAAUGACUUCAAAAUAAUAUAUAAAAAAUAAAAUUAAUUUAUUAGUUUUAAUCCUAUUUUUUAUUUUCAUUGGUUUUUUGUCUUUGGAUUUUUUUCUUCUUCAUUUUCUUUUUCUCAUAUUUUUCCUCAAUCAAACAUACCAAAAAAAAAAAAUUGUUUUAACUUUCAUUAAAAUUCAAAGUCUUAAUAAUACUUUCACAUUUUUUUUUAUUCAAAUUAGAAGAAAAUACAAAUAUUUGGAAUGCCUUUGAAAUAGUUUCCUAUUUUUCACUUUAACUAAAAGUUAAAAUUGAAUCAAAAUCAUAAUUUUUAAAAGAUAAUAUUGGUAUUAAAUAUAUGAAAGAGUUCUUAGCAUAAAUCAAAAUAAAGUUUUUACAAGGAACAACAAUUUUUUUAAUUUCUAUAUUAAAUUUCUUGUUAAGUGGUCAUAAGUUUUUUAAACGAAAAUAGUAAAAAAAAAAAAAAACAUAUGAUUGAUACCAAGAUAAAUUAUGAAUCCUUUAAAGUGAUCCACUACACUUUUUUGGGGUGGAAAUUCAGUCAUUAAUACAUGUACUUGAUCUGGGGGUGCCCUACAAUUCAAGUCAAUGAAUUUGGACAAAUCAAAUCAAUUUUUUUCCCAAUUGAUACCAAGGAAUAUCCAUAUGAUUCAAACAAUAUUUAUAUUGUUUGUUUGGAUUUUGCCUAAAGUAUUCAUGAAUGUGUCCAAAUAAUAUGCUUAUCAAUGGCACUACUAAUUUUUGCUUCCCUUUUUUUUUUUUUUUUUUUUUCAUUUUUUGUUUGUUUUGAAUUGGUACUUCCUUUCUCAUUCAUUCUACAUUCUUUUUUUUAAAAACAUUUGUCUCUUUUGCAUACAUCCUAAAAAGCCCAAAGUGUCUUUAUUAUUAUUAUUAUUAUUUUUAAAAAAAGAACUUAAUAAAAUCUUUUGCUUCAAUUUAUCUUAAAAUGAAAAUAAAAAAUAAAAUUUUAUUAUUAAAGUUUUAUUUUGAUUUAUAGAUAAAGCUAUUUCAUAUUUUAUAAAUCUCUUCCUAUAUUCAUUUUGUUCUUUGCAAAUUAUAAUUUCACUCACUUCAACUUUGAAAAAAAAAAAAAUUAUAGCAAAUUAUGUUUUAAUCCGCUUUCCAAUUGGAAAAUACUAAUAAUGCAACCCAUAUCUGUCUAAACUUAGUGCAUAUAAUAUUACUUUUCAAUGGACUUGAAAAAUAUUUAAAAACCAACAACUCCAAAGUCAAUUAUCUCAAUUAUGGAGUGUAAUGGUUUCCAAAAGAUUAAAGCAAGUGUGAAGAUCCCUAUAAUGUUUUUGAGUGUAAUGGUGUUUCCAAAAGAUAUAAGUAAGGAUGAAAAUAUCGGUAAUCAUGAAUAUAUCGGUAUUUUGAUUUUACGGAUAUAUCGGUGGGUAUUUUGACAUAAAAUAUCAGUAGACCUAAAAUUGACUAAAACUUAUAAAAAUAUAAAAUAAAACUUUUAGAAAUGAAAUUAAAAGUACAAUAGACAUUUUAAAAUUAUUUUUGUUGAAUAAAUUAAUGUAUAUAUAUAAAAUAAAACUUUUAGAAAUGAAAUUAAAAGUAUAAUAGACAUUUUACAGUUAUUUUGUUGAAUAAAUUAAUAUAUAUAAAAUAUUGUACGUGUCAAUAAAAAAUAUAAAUUUGAUAAGUAUAUAUUGAUUAUUAAAUUAUAUCAAAUAUUAUUUGGUGAUUAUAUUGUGAUAUUUGAUUAUAAUAUAUUUCGGUGGAUAUUUUGACACAAAAUAUAUGUAGACUUAAACUUGAUCAAAACUUAUAAAAAUAUAAAAUAAAACUCUUAGAAAUGAAAUUAAAAGCAUAAUAGACAUUUAAAUUUUUUUUUAAAUAUAUAUAUAUAUAUAUAUAUAUAUAUAAUAUUGUACAUGUUAAUAAAAAAAAUAUAAAUUUGAUAAAUGUACAUUGAUUUUUAAAUUAUAUAAAAUAAUAUUUGAUGAUAAUAUUGUGAUAUGUAAUUAUAAUAUGUUUAAUUUUAAAAUCUAUUUAAUAUUAAAAUUAUGAUAUAUUAUAAAAUAAAUGUAUAAAAUUUUAAUAUAUUAAUAAUAUUAAAAACACCAUGAAUAAAAUUAUGAUAUAUUUUUACUAAUCAAUUAAAUGAAAAAAUUUCAUUAAAUUAUAAAAUAGUUAUAAUUAAUUUGUUAUUUAAAGUGUUUUUUUUUAAUAUUUUAUUUAUAUCAUAACUUUUGAUAUAUAUUUCUUUAGUGCAUAUUACAUAUCAAAGGGCAAGUUUGCCUUAGUGGAGCCGGGGAUGCAUGUUGAACCUUCGAAUCUCCCUAAUAGCAACAAAAAAAAGCUCAAUUUUGAGCUUUGAUUGCGUUGAGCAGCCGUUGACCACCGAUAUAUCCAUGCUAUAUAUCGUUUCGCCACCCGCCGACACACCGAUAUUUCAACAAUAUUUUCUUCCCUGGAUAUGAGCAAGUAUGAUUUUCCUUAAAAUGUUUUUCACAAUUUUUUUAUAUGAUUAUUUAAGUUGCCUACCAAUAAAUCUUUUUCUAAUUUUUGUAUGAAUUGAAUAUUAUUAUUUUUUUUUAAAAAUAAGAAGUAUGUUUAAUAAUUAAUUUUUCUAAGUAAUAAUAAUGACCAACAACCUUUUAGACCUAGUUUUUCAAUCAACUUAUUUAUUUCAUAGGUAUAAAAUAUGGAGAAGUAAAAUAUAUGUAUUGAUGGAUCAAUUAAAGGGAGGGUUAAACCUACUAAGACACUACCCACCUCACUGGAGAAUGGAAAAUUGAACGGUUAUAAAUACAUCAUCAUUUCCCAUUUUUCACAAAAAUGUUGCUCCAUGUCCUCUUAUCAAUUUCACUUCAAUUAUCCUCAAAAAAAUCACUUCACAACUUCAAAGAUUUGUUAGCAAAAUUGAAAAAGUACUAACAUGUCACUUGAGUAAAAAAAGACAUGAUUCCUAUGCAAAAAAUGAAACAUAUGUGUGGACCCCGUAUUUCGACUCAUGCGUUCCCCACUCGGUGGCGAAACUCACUUUUAAUUUUAUUCAGUGAAAAUUUGAUUUUUGGGGAAAAGACUUGGAGUCGCCAUUUUGUGGACCCUGCAUUUCAACUCAUGCGUUCCCCACUCAAUGGCGAAACUCACUUUUAAUUUUAUUCGGUGAAAAUUUGAUUUUUGGGGAAAAGACUUGAAGUCGCCACUUACUUUUGUUUUAUUUUUAAAAGGGUAAACAAAAUAAGAAAGAAAACCCUGAGUGUGACUCCUCAUUUUGGAAAAGAUGGUCUGCGAAAAACCGGAUCGGGCUCGAGGGUCAGAUUACUUAUUGGGAAGGUAUGGUAAAGACUGUAGCACGCCUCUAAGUCCCUAAAGUUGGGGUCUCUACUAAUAGAAUGAAGCCGACAUGGCAAUCAAUAAGAAAGUCAAUGGAUACCUAAGUCAAAUCAUGCACAUAUGGGAAUCGGAACAUGCAUAGAGAAUGAUCCGAAUGAAAGUGUAUGCGUACCUGGGUCACGAGCCACAAUGCAUUGUAUUUGCUCCUCUCAGUGCGAUUUUCUCCGUGCGUUUUUCCCUAUCCCCUCACUAGCUCCCUCUGGUAUCCUUUUCCCUCUUUUUUUUUAGCUUGCUCUCUAAGCUAACGAAAACCUCACUCUGUCACCUUUCACUCAGCCGUCCUCCCUAUUCCAUCUUGUCACCCCAUGCCCUCUUUGGUAGAGUUCACGAGUGCAAUGAACAUGAACACUGAAGUGAAAAGAGAGUGUGAAUAGUGAGUGAAAUGAAGUGAACUCUACCGAAGAACCCAGGAGACCCCCACAACGACACUAGUGAAACACGAACUCAUUAAAACUAACAGACAAACACGAAGGCUCUAACCCUGAGAGAAGAUGAUGUUCAAAAUGUCUCGGAAGCCACACUGAGGACCUAGGCUCCCUCUAAGACGCCUCCAAAAGAGGCUUGAAGAACCAUAUCAAAGAUGAGUAAUGGUUGAACCACUCUGAAGUAUAGAAAAGACUAUGCCCAAAGGAGACUGCCAUAUGCGAACUACAUAAAAAUGACAAGUGUAUGGUGCCUAACGACAUGACUGAAGUAGGUGUCGUGAACUCAAAGGACUGUGUCAUGAGCAAUGAAAAAGGGAAUCUGGAAGAGUGAUGGCAAGUAGGCGAUAAGCACACGAUAACAAGGUAAGAAAAAUGAGAACAUAUGCAAACCCAUGAAGGCAAGAUGUGUAAUGCCAAUGAACAUGAAUGCCAGGGACUCUGACUCUGAAUGAUAUAACUGAGGAGAAAUGACUCUGCAUAUCAAAACAAAGAGAGAUGGUGACUCAUGGUGCAUGAAUGAAUAUGUACAAUGGCUCUGAACACCAAAAUUGAGAAGCGAUGAUGGCUUUGAAUGCCAAAACUGAGAAUGAUGAUGGCUCUGAACGCCAAAACUGAAAAUGGUGAUGGCUCUGAACGCUAAAGCUGAUAAGCGAUGAUGGCUUUGAACGCCAAAACUGAGAAUGAUGAUGGCUCUGAAUUCCAAAACUAAAAAUGGUGAUGGCUGUGAACGUUAAAAUUGAAAAUGGUGAUGGCUUUGAACGCCAAAACUAAGAAUGAUGAUGACUUUGAACGCCAAAGCUGAGAAGCGAUGAUGGCUUUGAACGCCAAAAUUGAGAAUGAUGAAGGCUCUGAAAGCCAAAACUGAAAAUGGUGAUGGCUGUGAACGCCAAAACUGAAAAUGGUGAUGGCUUUGAAAGCCAAAACUGAGAAUGAUGAUGGCUCUGAACGCCAAAGCUGAGAAGCGAUGAUGGCUUUGAACGUCAAACUGAGAAAUGUCGAUGGCUCUGAAUGUUGAAACUAAGAGAUGAUAAUGGCUCUGAAUGCCGAGAUUAAGAAACAAUGAUGGCUCCGAACGCCAAACUGAAGAUGUUGAUGGCUCUGAACGCCAAGACUGAGAAGAAAUAGGGGCUCUGAACGCCAAAUGGAAAAUGCUGAUGGCUCUGAGCGCCGAGACUGAGAAGAAAUAGUGGCUUUGAAAGCCAAAUGGAAAAUACUGAUGGCUCUGAACACCGAACUGAAAAGAAAUGAUGGCUCUGAACGCCAAAUGGAAAAUGUUGAUGGCUCUGAAUGCCAAGACUAAGAAGAAAUAGUGGCUCUGAAAACCAAAUGGAAAAUAUUGAUGGCUCUGAAUGUCGAACUGAGAAGAAACAAUGACUUUGAACGCCAAAUGGAAAAUGCCGAUGGCUCUGAACGCCGAGACUGAGAAGAAAUAGUGGCUUUGAAUGCCAAAUGGAAAAUCCUGAUGGCUCUAAACGCCGAGACUAAGAAGAAAUAGUGGUUCUGAACGCCAAAUGGAAAAUGUUGAUGGCUCUGAAUGCCAAGACUAAGAAUGAACAAUGGCUUUGAACGCCAAAAUGAAAACGUGGCUUCGAACGCCAAAUGGGAACAAUAGCUACUAAUGCUAAGCGAAAAUAGUGGCUUAGAAUGCUAAACUAAACUGAAUAACCAUAAGCGUCAAACUGAGAAAGACGACGCUGACCAUCGUAACUAAGAAGACAUAGUGGCUCUAAAUGCCGAACUGCAAGGGAAUGAUGGGGGGAAAAUAUGCCCCAGUGUAGCGGGUCACCAAAAACCCUCAAUCCAUCAGAAAAGUCGGAAAGAGACUCCGUAAGUCUCGAAAAAAUGCUUGGCCAAUGUGUCGGGGUGAUAAAAUCGAAUGAUCCUUUAAGGAGCCUUCAGAAAAAUGAUCUGAUAGGGUAACUAACGCGAUCUGAAGAAUCACGGAUAGCAAGACAAUCACAACCCGAACGUCCUACUCUACUGAAAGCUCAUCUCGAAGAAUCACGGAUAGUGACUAGUAAAGCAGAUAUAAUAUCUCUUGGCCAAGUGAUGAGAACCGCAACAAACUUGUGAGAGAACGAUCAUCUCCAUAUCCAAAUGAGGGAAAUAUGCCCACGUAUGGCGUCAAAUGUAUCCGAUCUGUCCUGAUGACUCAUGAGUAACUCAAUGGGGACGCGUCGCAGAUCUGACAUGUGCUCCAACGAAAUGAUGAAGUGAGAGUCCAUGAGCCUGAGAUGACUCCAUCCAAAAAUCACAAUGACAUCGGAAACUAUAAACAUGAUGAAACGACUCAAGGGAAGGUCCUUCGAAGAGUCAUGACAAAAUGAAACAAGAUCAUCAACCCGAUGUGUAUCUCGUAACUAGGGAUAAUGACGCAAACCAGAAGGGAUCUACGAAUCUCAAUCAAAGACGGAAAUAUGCCCCAGUAUGGCAUCAAAUGUGUGACAAGUAGGGAAAAUCAAAUGACAUCGAAUCAAGCAUCAACAGAUAUGUAAUCUUGGUCAUUUGAAUCCAUAACUGAAUCAUACCCACUGAUCAAAGAUGUGUCUUUCGGAAGGAAGCAUGAUGAUGGCAUCUGAGUGCUGAGAAAUGCGUGCCUAACUGGAUGGCUCCCAAGAGGCUCCACUAAGAAAUCAUCGUAAAAAUAGUGAUCGGACGAUCAUCUCGAUGAGUAUCCCGUUAGUGGGAAUGAUCACAUAACUCCACGAAGAUCAGUAAACCUCAUCCGAAAUGGAAAUAUGCCCCAGUAUGACAUCAAAUGUACAAUAGGUCGAAAUCGGGUGACAUGAAAUCAUCCAUCAUCAAAUAUGCGAUCUCCAUAAUCCAAAUCAAAUCCAAACAUCUAGGGAACGUCUCUCGAAAUAAAAAGCAUGAAAACAACCCGAUACCGAGAAAUGUGGACCUAGAUGAAUGGCUCCACUGGGGCUCCACUAAAGAAUCAUCAUAAAAAUAACGACAACGUCAUCAUCUCAACGCAUAUCCCGCAAGUGGGGAUAAACACGCAACUUCGUGAAGAUCGGCAAAUCUCAUCUAGAACGGAAAUAUGCCCUAGUAUGGCAUCAGAUGUAUAGUAGGUCUGGCUGAAUGGCCCUAAAGAGGCUCAACUGAAGGAUUGUCAUAAAAUAAUGACCACGCCAUCAUCUCAGCGCAUAUAUCGUGAAUGGGGAUAAGCAUGCAAACUCGUGAGGAUCUGUAAAAUCAUAUCUGAAACGGAAAUAUGCCCCAGUAUGGCAUCGAAUGUGUGACAAAUCAGAAAAGGUUAGGUGUCGUCAAAUCAUCCCUCGUCAAAUGAGUGAUCCCGGUAAUCCAAACACAACCGAAACAAAUCUAAACAUCAGAAAGGUGUCUCCCAGAAGAAGAAGCAUGACAGUAUCUAAAUGGCAACUAGAGCCCAAACACCUGUCCAAGUAGAGGCUGUCGAAGACGACAUCUGAUCCCAUGGCCUCAGGGUGGUCUUAAGACACGGGACGUAACGUAGGCUAGGGUGAUAAGGUAAUAGAAAUGAAAGGAAACGAGACCUAAAUACCCAAUGAUCAAAACUCAUGCCCUCAAGUAUAAAAUGCAAUAUGUGUGGAAAAGCUCGUGAGCCAUGAACCUGAAUGUGCCCAAUGUGAAUGUGAUAUCAAUAACAAGGUGGUGAAGAAAAAUGAUCUGAUAGAUGGAUGUGUAAGAACGAUGCACGUGAAGUGUCAAACUGAGAAUAAAAAGGCGUGGUAAGAAAAAUAAAAUGGCAAGAGGUGAGAUGAGGAUGAUGAAUCAAAAGCGAAAACAAGAAUGAUGAUGAAAUACGUAAUACAAAGGGGAGCAGUGAUCAACUCAAAUCAGACAUGGAGUGAACUCACAUCAACAAUGAAUGUAAUGAUGGAUAGGACAAUGACCCGGAGUCCCUAGGAGAAGGCCACUCAUCUCGCUCUCAAAACAUACGACAAAAAUGAAUACAAAGAAUGAAAGGUCUUGAGAAGCUCACAUACGAACUCUCAUCAAUAAACAUACUCGAUACAAUGACCUUUGAACAUCAACAUACACGCCCAACGAUGGAGAAUACUAUGCACAUACACAUGCAUGCUUAUUUUUUCUUUCUUUUCAUUUUUUUUUUUUUUACAUAUAUACAAAGGCACAUACCUUGAACAUAGACAAAUGAACCCCAAAGAUGAUAGCAAUAAUGAAUAGACACGCUCCCAAGUGCUAAGGUAACAAAAAUCUCUCUCUGAUAAGAUGACCUUCUCAAACUAAGGAUCUCUAACUCAAUGUCCGCAUGAUAAAUAGUGGAAAUGAUGUGACUAUCCCCCAUGUAAUGAAUUGAGGAGGAUCACCACUCGGGGUGGAGAGAAUAUGAAGCAAAACAAGUAAAUAGAAUAAAGAAUGAGAGAUGAAAAACACAACUAAUGAGAUAUGAAGGAAUGCAGUAGCGCGGUGGUAGGAAAAAAAAUAAUGAGAGAAAGAUGCACCUGUAGGUCCAAGACUCAUGAGGCUUCCAAACAAUGCAUGCAUACACUAAAUGGCCCCAAUCCCGGUGUAAAAAUGUGAGGAAGGCGAUAAGAUAGAAAUGCUAGAAUGCAUACGCGAGGCUCAAUGGGCUAGCAACGGUUCAUAUGUCAAAAAAGGAAUAACAAGGUAUAUAGCUAACCGAAAUGAUGGCCACCCAUUCUGCGACCAUGGUCUCAAACAUAGUACCUCUUUAGCUGGUCCACGUUGGUAGGCUCCGAGAAUCGGUUUCCAUCUAGAUCCAUCAACCAUGCAGCGCCCUCUGGGGUCAACUCCCUGAUGAAGUAAGGUCGGCUCCAAUUGGGUCUGAACUUCCCUCUAGGAUCUCUGAUCAAUCCUCUGAUGACCUUCAGAACCAAGUCGCCUGUCCAUAGUGGUCUGGGCUUAACCCGCUUUUUGAAAGCGCGGACCAUCUUUCUUUGAUAUGCAUGAACAUGAUCGGCUGCCCUUAAUCUCCUCUCAUCUAAGAGAUUGAGUUGAUCAAAUCGAGCCUGAACCCAAUCUGCCUCAGGAAUCUGCUGCUCCAAUGCUACUCUCAAUGAACCCAUCUCAAUCUCAACUGGUAGCACUACCUCCAUACCAUACACUAAUGAAUAGGGUGUGACCCCUAUAGAGGUGCGAAAAGAAGUCUGAUAAGCCAACAAUGUGAAAGGGAGCUUCUCUGACCAAUCUUGAGAAGUCUCAACCAUCUUUCGCAAGAUCCUCUUAAUAUUCUUAUUCGCGGCCUCUACUGCCCCAUUCGUCUGCGGCCUGUACGCAAACGACCUACGAUGUCAGAUGCCAUAUCUCUAUACUAAGGUGUCAACCUCUGCUCUGAAAUGUACUCCUCUAUCCGAAAUCAGCUCAUGAGGGACUCCGUAACGACAAAUAAUAUGUGAUCUAAUGAAACUGGUGACUUCGGCUGAUGUCAAUCUCGCAUAUGAAGCGGCAUCCACCCACUUGGUGAAGUAAUCGAUGGCGACCAAGAUGAACUCAUGACCACUAGAAGAUUUCGGUGAAGUCUUCCCGAUGAUGUCGAUACCCCAUACUGAAAAUGGUCAUGGUGACGUCAAUGCAUGUAACUCCGAGGGUGGCACGUGAAUAAGAUCUCCGUGUAUCUGACACUCUGGACAUCUCUGAACGAACUGGCAACAAUCCGUCUCCAUAGUCAACUAGAAGUAGCUAGUCCUCAUGAUCUUACGAGCCAACAUAUGUCCUCCCAUAUGUGGUCCGCAGACUCUCGUAUGAACCUCCCUCAUCACUCGAUCGGUCGAGGCGCGGUCUAAACACAAUAAUAGUAUCCCAUCAGGUGAUCGUCGGUACAAUGUCUCACCACAAAUCAUGAAUCGAGCUGCCAACUAUCUCAACGCUCUCUUAUCCUUGGUCGUGACGGCCUUAGGAUAUACACCAAGUGUCAGAAAGUGAUAUAUAUCGUGGUACCAUGGCAAACCAUCAUUUGGCUCUGUAUCAUCAAUCAAACAACAAUAGGUGGGAUUAGAUCUCGACUAAAUCAUCAAAGGGUGAACAAUGGCAUUGACAGGAAUAUCGAUCAUGGAAGCUAGAGCAGUUAAGGCAUCAGCAAACUAGUUCUGCGCUCUAGGCAGAUGUGUGUAUCUCAAAUCAUCAAAUCUCCCGACCAAUAGCUCCAAAUAUGCGUGGUAAGGCCCAAGCUUCACAUCUCUAGUCUUCCACUCGCCCUGAAUCUGUCUCAAUACCAAAUUGGAGUCACCAAACACCUCCAUUUACUAUAUCUCCAACCUUAGCGAAUGUCCCGUGCUCGUCGAUCUCAUCUGGGAAAUAGAGCGUCAUAAGGCUCAUGCGAUCGGGGGAUGAAGGGGCGGUCAAUGCAGAUGUGGAGGUGCCCAGAGGUUCGUCACUCAAAAGUAACUGGCGGAUAAGGCGCUGAAGCUCGGCCUCCUGGGUAAUGCUAAGCCCUCCAAUAAUCCCGUAUGAUUGGGUCGGUGGCUCCGAUGCCCUCACAAAAUAAUCUGCUAGGCUCAUGGUGUACGAGCGAACGGGAUAAUCGAAAGGUGUGUGAGUCAGUCGAGCUCUCACCCGCUCCCUGUGCAGUCGUGCCAUAUAUCUGUAGUCAGCCUCAAUAGGGACGAACUCGAGUCCGAAAGGUACAUCAUGAUCAGGAAUGGUCAUGAACUCGCUAGGCCCAUGCUGACGCCGCUCCAACCCCAUGCCGGGAAGAUAGGACAUGCCCCUCAUCAUAUUAAGCACCACUGUGCUCCCAUGCUGGUCAAAGGACAUAGCCACAAAGUCUCGAUAGAAGUCCUCCAUCUCAAGGGUCUGCACCUCGUCAAAAGUGAACUCGGUCAGCAGUAAGUCGUCGUCGCUAUGGUUGAUCUGGAGCAUUGGCUCAGCAGAAAUAAACAUGUCUCUUACAGACUGUACUGUGACAAUCUGUCCCUCAUGGAUGAAUUUCACUUUUUGAUGAAGUGAAGAAGGCAUGGCUCCGACUCGGUGAAUCCAAGGUUGGCCCAAAAGUAGGUUAAAGGAUGCAAGAAUCCUCAAAACCUGAAAUACGGUGACGAACGUGGUCGGACCUAUUAGGAGCUCAAUCUCAAGUGUACCCAUAACCUCCCUCCAAGUGUUGUCAUACGCUCGAACGGUCUGAGUGGAGGGAUCGAAAUCAGAGGGUGCAUAUCCAAGAGCGAUGGCGGUGGCCAGAGGACAGACGUUUAGGGCCGAGCCAUUGUCCAGAAGGACAAAUGGAACUCGGCGACCUGAACAACCAAUAGAAAUGUAGAGAGGACGUGUGUGGUCUGAGCUCUCCGAUGGCAAGUCAUCGUCAGAAAAUAUGAUGCAAGUGGCUCUGCCAACCAUCAUCAUGUGAAUCAGUUCCUCAGGGGUGGUCGUAGUAUUGACCCUAAUCUGGCUCAAAGCUCGAGUCAAGGCAUCUAGAUGAGUACUGGAAGAUGCUAGCAAACUCCAGAUGGAAAUACGAGCCUGAGUGCUCUGCCUCAAAAUCUCAUCAUCCUCUCUCCUGACCUCCUCCUAGGAUGACGUACCCUCUAAGGGUCUAGCGGCUGCAGGGGGCUGUUGGCGUACCACCUUACCUCCGCAGAUGACAUACUGUACAUCUGAAGUGUGAACAUCAUCGACAUACGGAGUCUGGGAAACAUCAACAUAUUGAGUCUGAACCUAAACAACAUCCAGAAUCAAAAGAAACGGAGUCCGAACACUGUAAUGUGGGAAAGUCAAUGGCUCGAUAAUGGUCGUCUGUACCAAUGUCAUCUCAAGGGUCAGCCUGAAUGGUGUGGACAUCCAAGGGCCCAAAGUCACUCUACCUAUCUCAUGAAUCUCGUCUGACACUAUAGGCUCUGGCUCUGGCUCAUCCCAACUCAACAUGUGGAUGUGAUUGUCAAGCUCAGCGAAGUCGAUGGAGUGCAUGCUAUCGGUCGGAGGAGGAACCGCAUGCGCGGUGUGGGCCGGUAGUGGGUUUUGGGUUACACUCAACUGACCCAAGUGAACCAAACCCUGAUCGAUCAAAUCCUGAACAACAUGCCUCAGAGUUGUGCAUCGAUCAAUCUCAUGUCCAAGCCCCUGAUGAUAGGCACAAUGUAAAUCCAUCCUGAACUGAGGAGGAAGAGGCUGAGGUGGUGGCCUCAGGGUAAGAACAGUCAAUAAUUCGGCCUCUAUGAGCUUCCAAAGAGCCUGGCUCAAUGGCAUGCUUAUCUGGGAGAAUUGUCUUUACGUCCUCAAAGAAAAUGGAGUAGAGGUCUGCUGAGCUCUGGGCUUGUGGUAAGAAGUAACGGGUGUCGCAGUGAAUUGUGCAGCGUAGCAUGGCUGUCUGGUGGCUGUAUAAGAAAUAGGAGGCUUCUCGAUGCCCUGAGUGGUAUAAUAAGGCAGAGCUAGUGUCUGAGGUUGGUAUGUCUAAUCAUAAGUCAGGCGAGGUGCCUGUGGCCUGUACUGCUGAGGCGUGUAAGAUGAACGAGCCUCGGGAAGCUGUGGGAUCGGCUGAUGGCGCCUAGGAGGCCUCUGACUAGAAGAACCAAUGACUCCCACAUCCACUGAUCUCUGUCCUCCAAAAGGUUUCUUCCCCUUGACAUCACUAGGGGAAGAAUCUGCCCACAAACCUCUCGAGAUGCCAUCCUCGACAUCGUAUAAUGCUAAGCCCAGAGAACCAAAAUCUACAAAAGGCACCCUGACCACAUGUCUGGCGAUCCUUGGCCGUAAGCUCUUCAGAACCACCUGUAUAUGAUCUCUAUCUGAUGGUCUAUCCACUAUCUCGGCUAUCUUCUCGUGCCAGCGGGAGAUGAACUAUGAAACAGACUCUUUUGCCCUCUGUCUUAGAGCCUCAAGCUCUCUCCUCAAUACAUCUACGACAGUGUUAAAUGAAAACUGUUGUAGGAACUCUUGGGCCAAGUCGUCCCAUGUCCGGCGUCGUGAGGACUCUAAAGAUGCGAACCAUGGCUGGGACGCCCCACUAAGAGAUAGCGGGAAUAAAGUGAUCAUCUGAGGCUUGUCCAAUCCAUGAGCCCUCAUCACUGUGCUAUAGAGUCGGAGGUGAAUGCAAGGACAACCAAUACUUAUGUACCUCUCAAUAUCCGACAUCCUGAACUUAGCCGGCAAACUGGCUACCGGCAUACCCUCAAGAUCAUCCCAAACAACGGAGCCAUCAAAUACCCUCAUCUGUCUCAUGUGCUACUCAAUACGGUCCAUGCGCGCAUGAGCGUCGCCAACAAUAGUGGCCUGGAUGACUGCGGGCGGAACAACCUCAGAAUGACUGUGUAGCACAUAAGGUGAAGCUUGAGGCACCGAAGGAACAGGUGGUGGCGGUGGAGGUGGCAACGAGUCAUGCAGCGUCUCAUCCUAAACUAUGGGCGGUCUACUUUGCUGACUGCCUAUCUCCUGCCUAAGACUGGCCAAGGCCUCCUGAAUAGAAGCCAUGGUGGCCAUAAAUUGGUCAACUGUGACGACCUGCUGAUCCAUGUCUAAUAUCUCUGAAAAUCGGACUAAUCUCCCCUCUACUCUGACCCAAUGAGGUAAGUCUAGAUUGAUAAGAAAGGUCUGAUCCUGAAAGUCUCCUCAUUUGCUCUGAUCCACGAAGCUAUAUCCAGGCUGAGAACAAAGGUCUGAUCCUACAAAGCACGAAGAACGUAAUAAGGAUACGACUCAGAGAAAGCAUGGAAGAAGUGGUAAUCUGAACGGAAACAAGUAAGCAUCCAAGUGAAGACGGACUGUCCGACCGUACUCAAACUCGUCCUGAUCUCGAUACACUCUCAAUCGGAGACUAAAAAGAGGGAAAAUCGGAUCCAAAUUAUAGCUAUAGAGGCUCUGAAGGCCCUUAGAUGCACCCACGUGUAAGGAGGGAGUCCUAGUCGAAGGAUCUACGGCUCAACCUACAAGGUAGAAGUGACUUUAAGAGGAUAAGGGUGGACUUUAAAAAAUCCCUAGCAGAAGCGAUCAUACCUUCCGGCGGUAUGCAACCCUCUGUACGCCUCAAAAGAAACGGGACGCUUCCAUGCAAGGUGGUUAUCACCUCCACACAUGCACUACCUCGACAUCUUAGGGGGGUUUCCUAUGGUAGAACUUCUCAAACUCUCAACACUCAAUGGUCAACUAGAGUGCACAGUGUGCUGUGUGGGUGCAUCUGAAAACCCUAUGAAGCUAAAAUGAAAAGGGAGACACUGGCCGCACAAAUAUCCAUGAAAUCUAGCUCCGAGCUAAACAAGUCUUCAAUGAUCGGACUCCAAUCGUCAUCAAUGUGUCGCUCUCUUCCAGAAUACUCCCAAACAUCGGUAUAGCCUGUCGCUGGACCCUACUCCUAACCUUUAGCUCAGUCAGAAUACAAGCACACACAAGGCCUCACACUUGCAAAAGUGAGAACCAAAAUAAAGGAAAUGACCGAAACCAGAGGGUGGGAGGUAAGAGGAUAAAUGUGCUACCCACACAAACAAGUGACAUGCAAUCAUGCAGAGAAGGGCAGUCAUGCGACAUGUAAUCAGGCAGAGUACAGGAUAUAUCACUCAUGUGCACAUACAAGCUAUGACAAUAAAAUGAAUAGUGAUAAAAACAGUAUGCUCAAGGAUGAUCAAGAUAAUAUACAAACAAAUGGAUCAACGUGUCGAGUCAAAUAAUAUACAGUGGCAAGUGUAUGCAUGUGAGGUGAUCAGGGUAAUCAUGGCAAAAUCAGAGUAUAUAUGCUAAGCAAUACAAGAUGAUCAAUCAGUAUAAUCAACAAUGUCGAUGUCUCAAACAAUAUAGCAAUGAAUCACAAAAGGAAUAGCUAUCUCAGAAUCCUCAAUCAAGACAAAUCAGUCAUCAUAAUCAGCAUAUCAACAUCUCAAACGGAUACAAUAUACGAGCAUGCAUAAAAAACUCUCAAUGUGCAAUCAAGAGAUGGGCAUCCAUUGAUCGGCCAAUCAAAUGCCACGUUCGCUUCAUCCUAGGUUCAAGCUUGACCCUCUAAAUCUUCCCCAGUGGAGUCGCUAUUUUAUGGACCCCGCAUUUCAACUCAUGCGUUCCCUACUUGGUGGCGAAACUCACUUUUAAUUUUAUUCGGUGAAAAUUUGAUUUUUGGGGAAAAGACUUGGAGUCGCCAUUUUGUGAACCCCGCAUUUCGACUCAUGCGUUCCCCACUCGGUGGAGAAACUCACUUUUAAUUUUAUUCUGUGAAAAUUUGAUUUUUGGGGAAAAGACUUAGAGUCGCCACUUACUUUUGUUUUAUUUUUAAAAGGGAAAACAAAAUAAGAAAGAAAACCUUGAGUGUGACUCCUCAUUUUGGAAAAGAUGGUCUUGGAAAAACCGGAUCGGGCUCGGGGGUCAGAUUACUUAUCGGGAAGGUAUGGUAAAGACCGUAGCACCCUUCUAAGUCCCUAAAGUCAGGUCUCUACUAAUAGAAUGAAGCCAACAUGGCAAUCAAUAAGAAAGUCAAUGGAUACCUAAGUCAAAUCAUGCACAUAUGGGAAUCGAAACAUGCAUAGAGAAUGAUCCGAAUGAAAGUGUAUGCGUACUUGGGUCACGAGCCACAAUGCGCUGUAUCUGCUCCUCUUAGUGCGAUCUUCUCCGUGCGUUUUUCCCUAUCCCUUCACUAGCUCUCUCUGGUAUCAUUUUUCCUCUUUUUUUUUAGCUUGCUCUCUAAGCCAACGAAAACCUCACUCUGUCACCUUUCACUCAGUCGUCCUCCCUAUCCCAUCUUGUCACCCCAUGCCGCCUUCAUUUCGGGUUCGUCAAAAGAGUAAUCAUAAUAAAAUGGCCAAAUUUCUCAUCUCUCAGGAAGGGGUCUACAAUAUGCCAUAUUUAUCAUCUAAAUUAUGUACUUUUUUGAAUAGUAAUUACAUGUUACACUAGGUAGAAUCAUGUUAACAUAUUAAAUGGAUUAGAAUUGUGUUAAUUGGUUUAAUGAAUGUUAAUAGGUUUAAUAGGUUAGAAUCAAAUUAACGGGGGUUACCUAUAUCAAUUCAUAUAGAGGUCAACUUAACCUAUUUAUUAAAUUAGUUAUGUUUAUAUCAAGUCAUUUUAACAUGAUGUUUAAACAAAUCAUAUUCCAAUUGAGUAAACUUUCACUAGUUUUUAUCUUGAUACAAUACAAAUCUAACAUAAUAUGACCCAUUGUCACCCUAGUUAAGGAGCAUAAGAGUGUUGCAUCAAGGAAGUGGAAGAAAAGCAUAGUGAUAUAAAACUUUAGGGAGUGGAAGCAUUUAAUCAAGUAAAGUUGUGUAACUUUUUUUUUUUUUCAUAAGUAGUGGAUUAUUCAAUUGUCAAGAGACCAACCAUAGUUUUUUUUUUUAUACCUAGGGAUUUCUAGGUGCUUUCCACAUUAAACUCUAUGUCAAAUUGUGUAAUCGGAAAUCUCAUGCAUGAGAUUGAUAAGAUAUUGAUGAUAAUUGAGUUGGAAUAAAAUAAUUUAACUUUGAGGGGUUAAUUGCUUGGAUUACCUAUUUACCCCUCCUUCAAGAAGUUCCAUAUCAAGAAAAAAAUUAUUUCAACAUAUAUAUAGAUAUUUUAUAUUUUCUAAUUUUAAAUUAAUUUUUAUGUUGGGAAAUUGAAUGAGGGAAUAGUUGGCUCAAUUUUUCAAGCUUGGCAAAAAAAUUUGUUGUUAACAUGUUAUUUUACCUUAUUUUAUACAUUUUUUUUGGAAUAAAAAUAUAUAAUCAACUACUCUUGUAUGAUUGAUUUAGAUGUUAGAAAAGGUUACAACCAUUAAUUCUAUUAAUUGACCAACAAUUUUUUAUAAACUUUAAGUUGCUAGCAUUCAUAUAUUAUCCUAAAAUUAUUAAUUAUAAUUUUAUUUAAGUUGAACCACAAAUCUUGGGUAAAUGAUGAAGUAUUUGUUAACAAGAUACUUGUUUAAUUAUAUUGGAAGUUUUUAGUUUGAUUUGUUGUUGUUGAAUUCAAAUUCCUAGAAGCUAGCUUUGAGGACUAGAUAGUUGUCUUGGUUUUUGUUAUAAGUUUGAUUUUUAUAUUGUUUUCAAACAUGAUGUGUAAAAUGUUAAUGGUAAUGAUGUUGAAACAUAGCUAAUGCUACUAGAAGAAUGUUGUAAAGAGUGCCUUUGGUGAGUUGGAUCGGGGGGGAAAGCUCCAUGACAAGCUCCAUUUAUUACAAAGGAUUCCUUCACAAACUCUCUUUGUAUGUUAUUAAGUUGUGAGUAGAAUUAUUGAAGUUGUAUAAACAAGUGGCAAUCUUGAUACGUCAUAAUGACACCAUUCGAAAAUUAUAUAAAUCUUAGCAGGUCUAAAGGUAUUUGUAAAACACAUUUGUAUUGCCUAAUUAUGGUCUUAUUGGAGAAUGAGUUAUUAUCAAUUUCAUGGAACAAAACUUUCAUUAGUCAAUAUUAUUUGAAGGUGAAAUCUUACUCAUAAAAUUUUUCAAUUAAAUUUAAAAGUUAAAAUUAUAAAGUAGAGAGUUAAAAUAACCAUUGAGCAUAGUUUAAAAUUUGAAUAUAAUGUGUUUAUUAUUGUAAUUCAAGCCCAAUAUUUAUUAUUUAUUAUUAAAAAUAUAAUUUAUAUUUAAGAUAAUUUAGCACAUUUGAACAAUGCUUUGAGAAUAAGAUUGGAGCAUCUAAUUUGACUAAUUGGAUAGCAAAUCAAACUAAUCCAAUCUUAUUUUUCAUAUUUUUCCACCUUCAAUUUUAAGAUAAAUAUGAACAAAAGUCUUUAUAUGAUUAUAACAAUAUAAACAAUAUAAACACUAAAAUAAUUAGUUUAACAUUAAAUAACAAAAAUCUUAUUUUAGUCUUCGACAUAUUGCUAUAUAAGUUAAAUAUAUAUGUUAGUAAAAUAAGAAAUAUUAAUAUAUUUAAAAUAUUAAAUAAUAAAAUCACAUUUUUUUGUUAUUAUUAAUAUUUAAUUAAUACAUUCUAAUUAAAUCUAAAAUAAAAACUUUACACAAAUUAGUAUAAAACCAAAUAUGAUCACCAUAAACCAACCUCAAUUAAAAAUACUUAAAUAUAUAAAAGUCAAAGUAAAUAAAUGAGAAAUAAUGCUAAAAGAUAUAUAUAUAUAUAUAUAUAUAUAUAUAUAUAUAUAUAUAUAUAUAUAUAUAUAUAUAUAUAUAUUAUUUUUAACUCCAUAUAUUAUUUUAAAUUUUAAUAAUAUAUGAAUUAUAUAUGCAUAUUGCCUUGCUGAUAUCAUGUUUCAAUUACUUGAACCAUCAGUUCAAUUAAGAAAGUUUAAUGCAAUAAUUUUUCGAUUCAAUAAUUAAUUAAUAAGAUUUUCAAAAUAUUGUAUUUGAAAACUCAUCACAAAAAAUGAAUAAAAAAGAUCAUGAAAUUCUUGCAAAGAAAACUUACUUCAUGAAAAUAUGGAAACCCCAAACCUUAAUUUCUUCAAUAAUAUGAAUCAAAAUUCUUAUAUUUAGGCAUCUUAGGAGAGAACCAAUAAUCUCAUCCACAAAUCAAGCAUAGUCAAUAGGCAAUUCUUAUGUUUAGGAGUAAUAUAUACAUACAUACAUAUAUAUACUGUGUAUAGAUGAUGUAUCUUUUGGAAAGUCAUGUAUAUAUUUAAAUGUUGUAAUGUAUAUCUUGCAUAAUAUAGUUUGACCAUUCAUCUAUUCAUUCAUUCAUCUUAUACUCUUGGAAAGAAAAGUAACUUCAUGAAAAUAUGGAAAUCUCAAACCUUAAUUUCUUCAAUGAUGCUUAUUAAAAUUUUUGCAAUAAAAAGUUGUGUAAUUGAGGACACUAAUGAUGCAAGGUUACAACUAGUCACUCCUAACCAGACUUAUUCUUAUACAUAUUUCCAUCUUCAUCUCAAGUCUGGGAGUCUACCUUUCCAUUUUAAGAAAAUUAAUUAUUCUUUUUAUUUUACAUGUAUUGAAAAAAGUAAAAGAAAAAAUAAGAUUGAGCAAUAUGAACCAAUCAAUCUUGACAUAUAUGUGAGAAGAUAAUUUAAAAGUGUAUUUGAUAGUGUUUAAUUUUGAAGUGUUUUUAAUUUUAAUAAAAGUAUUUUCUUUAGAAGUGAUUUUGAGAUAAUUACCUAUUAAAAGUGCAUUUGAUAAUGAUUUUAAAAUAGUGUUUUUAGUUUUUUAAUACUUGAAAAAUAAAAAUUUUCAAAUAUUAAAAAGAAUAAAAAUAUUUCCUAAAAUUAUUGUUAGACGCACUUUAAAACCCCGUUUAGCAGUGAUUUUAGGAAGUGUUUCUAAACUUUUUAGUACUUUAAAAUUUGUAUUAUUUAAGUGUUAGAAAUACUAGAAACGUUUUCUAAAAUCACCAUAAAAUGUAUUCUAAGAGUGUGUGUGAUAGUGAUCCUUGGAAAUGUUUUUAACAUUUUUAAUACUUAAAUGAUAAUAAUUUUCAAAUGUUAAAAGGUUAUAAACACUUCUUAAAAUUACUAUAAAACGGGUUCUAAGUGUUUCUUCAAAAAACACCACAAAUGAUUUUUUUAUCUGUUUAAAAGUGUUUUCUAAAUUUUAUUAAAUACUUAUUUUUCUCCAAAAAUAUUUUUUAAGGUAGAAGUGCUUUUUUAAAAAUAAUAUCAAAUGGACGUGUAAGUCUUAAAAUAAAAUCCCUUGAUUUAAUUAUACUUUUCAAAUCCAUCCUAUAAGCCUAAGCAUUCUUGAAAUACCCACCCCUGUUAUAAUACAAAAGCAAACCACCACUAAGGAUAUUUAAACAACAUUUUAAAGACAAUCGGAACCUAUCAAUGAGACUUUGUCUCAUAAUACAAAUUUCGUUAUGUUCACAUGUAGAAAGGGACAAAUAAUACAUAAAAACUAAAAAUCAUAUACAAUAGAAAGCUUGGAAUCAAGAGGGAAGAGAGCAAAGUUACGAAGUGGUGGAGCCUUGGUAAAAUAAAAUUAACAACGGCAUUUUCAUGUGCGUGUCUCAUCGCUGGAUGGACCGAAUUUUGCUUCUCCCAAAACUCUUUAAAUAUUGGGAGAAUUGUGUUUUGGCCCAAUUGUCCCAAAAAUUAAUAUUUGGUCCUCCAAUCAUCCAUAAUUGAUAAUAAGGAUAUGAGAUAGUAAUUGACAAAAAUACCCGCUUGACUCAUUUUUGUCUUUAUUCUACUACUUGUCACUAUUCUUUCUUAUUUAACUAUUUUUGGAUUUUCAUUUUUUUAAAACUCUUUUAUAAAUAAUUGAAAAUUUAAUAUUAUUUUUAUUUUUAAAUUAUAAAUAAAAAAAAAUUAUAUUAAUGAUUCAAAGACUAUUUAGGAAAAUACUUUCUAAAAAAAUAUUAAUUUAAAUAAAUAAAAAUUAUCUUUUACAUUUAUUUUUAUAGUUUACAUUUUAGAAGUAAAUAAUUUAAUGAUUAAAAUACCAUUUAAAAUAAAUAUAUUUACUAUUUUAAUUUUUUUUAUACUAAAAAGUAUUUUAAAGUUUUUUUUUUUUACUAUUAUAAAAUAAAAAGUUCAUUUUUUUUUUAAUCUUCUUUCUUCCUUAUUUUAAUAACUUUUUGAACAUGACUUUUAGUAAUAAGUUAUAUGGAAUGCUACAAAUUUGUUUAUUAAGGAUUUUUUUUUAAUGAUUUGAAUUAAUUGAAAAUUUAUUAAAAUAAGAAAAAGAAAAAUAAAGAAAGAGGAUUGAUGGAGAGUUUUUAUUUUAAGUACUCGAUUAAAAGAGGAUGGACGUAGAGUUUUUAUUUUAAGUAUUCAAUUAAAAUGUUUUCAUAUGACCUACUUUUAGAAGUGGAUUAUAUCAAUACAUAGUAGAGAUUGAAUUUUUUUUUUUAUAUAUAAAAGGGUUGAAAGGUAUAUUUACUUGUUUUAGAUGAAAACAAGUAACUAAAAAUUAUAUAGAUCAUAUUUGAGUUUGGUUUUAAAAUAUUUUUCUAGUUUUUAUUUUAAUUUAUUUUUAUUUUCUAUAUUGUCUCUUUUUGAAAAUAUGUUAAUUAAAAAAUGAAAACUAUUUUUAAAAAUGAAAAUUGAAAACCUUGUUUGGUAAUUUUUUUUUAUAUAAAAAAAAUUAUUUAUUAAUUUAUUGUGUCAUUGUACAAUUGUAUUACAAUAACUGUACUAAAGACGUACAAGACUACCAUUUAUGAAAUAUUAUAAUAGAUUAUGAGUCAUUCCUUUGUUUUUCUACAUGGACACAUAACUUAAGAGGGAUAUGAAAUUUGUGUCAUUGUACAAGGGUAUUACACUAACUGUACAAAGGAAAUGUACUAAUUGUACAAAGGUGUACAAAAUCAUCUUUUGUGAAUUAUUUUAAUAAAUUCUAAACCACUUUUUUUUUCCUUGUCACCCAAGGAUUGUAUGCCUAUGUCAUGCAUUUUAUUUAACUCUCAUAUGAGAAUUCUAAUAUUUUCCCUAAUAAUGAUAUUUGGGGAAAAAAUUGACCCUAAGUCCUCUACCAUUUUCUUAACCAAACAAUUGAAAAUAUGAUUAAUACACCUACAUAAACAUAUAAGUUAUGACAAAUAUGAAAUUUGUGUCAUUGUACAAGGAUAUUACACUAAUUGUACAAGGGAAAUGUGCUAAGUGUACAAGGCUCCUAAUAGGUUUUGUACGAUUGUUAAACAACUUGAAUUUGAUAUUAAGACGAUUAUUGAUAGUUUUUUUUUUCUUUUUUUUAUCAAACUAUUUCAUUUAGACAUUCCCUACAAAAAUUAACACAUAGGAAAUAAAAUUAAAAUCAAUCAUGUUUGAAUUGUUCAUUAUAAGUAAACUAAAUGAAAUAUACAUUUUUACUAUUUUUCCUUUAUAAACAUAAUUUCUUUGUUAUCAAUAGAGAUUAAAAAAAAUCAUAUUUAAAUGGAAUUAAAAAUAAACAAAAAUUAUUUUUAUAACAUUUUUAUUUUUUAAAAUCAUUAAUUUAAAUUAUGAAAUUAGUUUUAAAAUUAAAAAUACUUGUUGUAAUUAUAGUUUUGAAGAUUUCAUGAUUUUUAUCUUAUUACUUUGAAAAAAUUGUUUUAAUAAGAAAGUAUUUAUUUUAAUUAUUUUAAAUAUUUAAAUCUUUAUUAAAAAAUAUUUAGAAUUGGUGUGGAGAGCAAUUAGAUAAUUUUGGAAAGGAGAAAUUUUGAAUAUUUUGAAGAAUUUAAUUCGGCAAAUUACCAUAUUUACACUUUUUAAAAUAUUUUGGAAUGGAGAAAUUUUGAAUAUUUUGAGAGCAUAGUUCAAAGAAUUGAAAGAUUUUAAUCAAUUUUAGACAAUAGUUUUUUUUUUUGUCUUGUCAUCUAAGGAUUGCACACUCUUAAGGUACACAUUCCUCUAUUACACACUCAUCUUAUGCACUUUAUUUAACUCGCACAUGAUAAUUCAAAUACUUAUCCCACUAAUGAUGUUUGAAAGAAAAUUUUGUUUUUCCAUUUUCCACUAUUUUUUGAAACAAACCAAUGAAAACAUGGUUAACCUACCUAUGGUUAUACAUUGAGUAGCAGGUAUAUGGAAUUUGAGUCACUGUACAAGGUAUUUACACUAAGUGUACAUGAAAAAUUUACUAACUGUACAAGAGUGUACAAGAUUAUUAUUUGUGAAGGAUUUUAAGUGAUUCUGAAAAAUUUGUUUGUUUAUUUCCCCUAACCGAGGAUAAAUGACAUUCAUUACACACAUUAAUUAAGCAUACAUUCAUCUCAUGCGCUUUAUCUAAUUUGUAUAUGGUUAUUUGAAUAGGUACCUCACUUAUGAUGAUUGUAAAACAAAAUUCUACAACAAUUUUUCUUCUUUUUUAAAACCAAACCAAUGCAAACAUGGUUAACUGACCUAUUGUCAGAUAUUCAUGAGAUAAUCUAUGAAAUUUAAGUUAUUGUACAAGGGUAUUACACUAACUGUACAAGACAAAUUUACUAAUUGUACAAGGGUGUACAAGAUUACUUUUUGUUAAGGAUUUCAAGUGAUUUUGAAAAACUUUCAUAUUUUUUUCCACUCAAAGAUUUUUUUCCCCACUCAAAUUCUCUCACUCAAGAAUUGUUUCGAAUUUUAUUUUUAAAUUUCAUCAUCAAAAUUUUGUAAUUGCAUAUUUUGUUUUUGUAGUUUUAGCAAUGUUCUUUCUUUUCACUUUUUUUUUUUUUUUUUUUUUUUUUGUGAAAUUUUAUCGAAAUGAAUCUAGAUUUAAAAUUAUAAUCAUAUUUAUCAAUUUUUUUUACUAAGAUUAUCUUUAAUUCUUUUAAUAUAUUUAUACUCAUUUAUUUAAAAAAGGAAAAACUAAUUUUUUUUUUUUUUUUUUGUAAACAUAUUCUAUUACCUUUCAAGUAAAAAAUUAGAUAAGUUUGAAAGUCAACAAAAAAAAAUUAAAUACCACUUUCAAUAAUUUUUAGAUAAAAUUUUAUAUAAUAUAUUUUAUUUGAAAUUUAAUUUUUAAAGUUUAACUAAAAAAUUAUAUUGACAAUUUUCUAGUUAUGAGUCAAAAUACUUUGCAUUAGUAUAUCUAUAUAAGAAAAAUUAUUAAUAUAAUAUUAUAACCUCAUAUCUUAGUUAUUUUUUUUCAAUAAAUUUAUCUUUUUAAAAAUUUUAAAAUAAAAACAUUAAAAAUUAAAAAGCUAAAAAGAUAUAUAUAUAUAUAUAUAUAUAUAUAUAUAUAUAUAUAUAUAUAUAUAUAUAUAUAUAUAAUAAAGUGAAGUGAUAGUUAAUUUUAAUUUUUUUUUAAAUAUGGUUAAUGUAGAAAAUAUAAAAAUAAUUAAAAAUAAGAGAAAAAUAUAAAUGAAAGGGUAAUAUAAUUUUAAAAUAAAUAAUAAUAAUUAAACUAAAAGAUAAAUAUAAAAAGAUAAAAAAUAUUUGGAUGAAAAAUCCCAAAAUUUUUAUCAUUGCUUUUAAUAAGAGCAAAAAGAUUGAAUAUCUUUAAAAAUGAAAAAUAAAAAAAUAUUAUUACUUUUUAUUUGACAUAAAAUAGAAAUAUAUAUUGGAAUAAAAAGAAAAAAAAAGUUAGAAAUGAGUAAUACUUAAUAGGGAAUAGAAAAGGAAAAAAAACAUAAAAAAAAUUGAAAUUCACACUCACUUGUAGACAUAUAAGGGAUAAGGGUAUUUUAGGAAUUAAUGAAAGACAAUAUCCUUCAUCUUAAUUUUCAUACUUUGUUUGAGUCUUGGGUUUAAAUAUGCAUGAUAUAUGGACUAAAUGUUAAUUUUUGAUCCCAGCUGGCCCAAAAUACAAUUCUCCCUUAAAUAUUAUAAUUAGAGCCCACUUGAUGCUUAGAAAAAUACAUUUGCAAGUGAUCUCCAUCUGUCAAUCAAUUAAUCUAUACAAUAUUAAAAAUUCACUUCUUGUUGAUUUAGCAAAAUCACUUUGUUGGGGGUGGCCUGUCUCCGAUGUUACUCAAGUUUCAACUCUGGACUUUUCAAAUUAACAAAGUGCAGUGAUUCAUCUUUCUUCUUUGUUCCAUUUUUGGCUGAAUUGUAAUCCUUUUGUCUGUAACUUACGGAAAGCUAUGGAGUUUCUGAGCUCGAUCGUGGGUCUGGUCCCCUGCUUCUAUGAUCACACCUCCAAGCAUACGGUCUACAUUCGUGAUCUGAGAAAAAAUCUCCAAGCCUUGAGGAAAGAAAUGGUGGAUCUGAACAACUUGUACGAAGAUAUGAAGGCAAGGGUUGAACGUGCAGAGCAACAAGAGAUGAAGCGCAGAAAGGAAGUGGGUGGGCGGAUCUGUGAAGUAGAAGACAUGGAGAAAGAAGUUCACGAAAUUCUGCAAAGAGGAGAUCAAGAAAUCCAGAAGAGUUGUCUAGGAUGCUGUCCCAGGAAUUGUUGGUCUAGCUACAGGAUUGGAAAGGCGGUAAGUGAAAAGCUGGUUGCUGUAUCUGGUCAAAUCGGCAAAGGACAUUUCGAUGUUGUAGCCGAGAUGUUGCCUCGUCCUCCAGUUGAUGAACUGCCCAUGGAGGCGACUGUGGGCCCACAAUUGGCAUAUGAAAAGAGCUGUAGGUUUCUCAAAGAUCCACAAGUGGGAAUUAUGGGAUUGUAUGGAAUGGGGGGUGUUGGCAAAACCACCCUCUUGAAGAAAAUCAACAAUGAAUUCCUCACAACAUCCAAUGACUUUGAGGUCGUGAUUUGGGCUGUGGUGUCAAAAUCGCCCGACAUUGAAAAAAUUCAGCAAGUUAUUUGGAAUAAAUUGGAAAUCCCACGUGAUAAAUGGGAAACUAGAAGCAGUAGGGAGGAGAAGGCUGCAGAAAUAUUGAGAGUUUUGAAAAGAAAAAGGUUCAUCUUGUUGUUGGAUGACAUUUGGGAGGGACUUGAUCUCCUAGAAAUGGGGGUCCCGCGUCCAGAUACUGAAAAUAAGUCCAAGAUAGUUUUGACGACCCGAUCACAGGAUGUCUGCCACCAAAUGAAAGCUCAGAAGAGUAUAGAAGUGGAAUGUUUGGAGUCAGAAGAUGCCUGGACUUUGUUCCGGAAGGAGGUAGGAGAAGAAAUAUUAAAUUCUCAUCCGGAUAUACCGAUGCUUGCAAAGGUUGUUGCUGAAGAGUGCAGAGGUUUACCUCUCGCUCUUGUCACUCUUGGGCGGGCCAUGGCAGCUGAGAAAGAUCCCUCAAACUGGGACAAGGUAAUACAAGAUCUACGCAAAUCUCCAGCUGAAAUCACAGGUAUGGAAGAUAAAUUGUUUCAUCGAUUGAAACUCAGUUAUGAUAGGUUGCCUGACAAUGCCAGCAAAUCUUGUUUUAUAUAUCAUUCCAUCUUCCGAGAGGACUGGGAGAUUUAUAAUUAUCAACUUAUAGAACUUUGGAUAGGGGAGGGGUUCUUGGGUGAAGUUCACGACAUACAUGAAGCACGGGAUCAAGGGAAGAAAAUUAUUAAUACUUUAAAGCAUGCAUGUUUAUUGGAGAGCUGUGGUUCGAAAGAAUAUAGGGUUAAGAUACAUGAUGUGAUCCGUGACAUGGCUUUAUGGUUAUAUGGUGAACAUGGGGUGAAAAAGAACAAAAUUCUAGUAUACAAUAAAGUUGCUAGGCUUGAUGAAGAUCAAGAAACUUCCAAAUUGAGAGAAACAGAGAAGAUAUCAUUAUGGGAUAUGGAUGUUGGGAAGUUCCCAGAAACAUUGGUGUGCCCCAAUCUUAAGACUUUAUUUGUGAAAAAAUGUCAUAAUUUGAAGAAAUUUCCAAAUGGAUUCUUUCAAUUCAUGCUUCUACUUAGAGUUCUGGAUUUGUCAGACAAUGAUAAUUUAAGCGAGUUGCCAACUGGGAUUGGUAAAUUGGGUGCCUUGAGGUAUCUUAAUUUGUCAUACACAAGAAUAAGGGAGUUGCCCAUUGAACUAAAGAAUUUGAAAAAUCUGAUGAUUUUGAUUAUGGAUGGUAUGAAAUCCCUUGAAAUUAUUCCACAAGAUAUGAUAUCAAGCCUUAUAUCCUUGAAGUUGUUCUCCAUUUAUGAAUCCAAUAUUACAAGUGGAGUUGAAGAAACUGUACUGGAGGAGUUGGAGUCCUUGAAUGACAUCAGUGAGAUAUCAAUCAUCAUAUGCAAUGCUCUUUCAUUCAACAAACUAAAGAGUAGUCAUAAAUUACAAAGGUGCAUAUGUCAUCUAUAUUUACAUAAAUGGGGGGAUGUGAUCUCACUUGAACUGCCUUCUUCAUUUUUUAAAAGAACGGAGCAUUUGCAGCAGCUUAAUAUAAGCCAUUGCAAUAAAUUGAAAGAAGUGAAAAUUAAUGUGGAAAGAGAAGGGAUACACAAUGGUAUGACUCUUCCAAACAAAAUUGCAGCAAGGGAGGAAUACUUCCACACCCUUCAUCGUGUGGUUAUAAUUCAUUGUUCAAAAUUGUUAGACUUAACAUGGCUUGUUUAUGCUCCAUAUCUUGAAGGACUUUACGUUGAAGAUUGUGAAUCAAUAGAAGAAGUGAUACGUGAUGAUAGUGAAGUCUGUGAAAUUAAGGAAAAAUUGGACAUAUUCUCAAGGCUCAAACACCUCGAGCUCAAUAGGCUGCCAAGAUUGAAGAGCAUCUACCAGCAUCCACUACUCUUUCCCUCUCUUGAAAUCAUCAAGGUGUGUGAAUGCAAAGGUUUGAGGAGCCUCCCAUUUGAUUCCAACACUUCAAAUAAUAGUCUAAAGAAAAUUAAAGGAGAGACAAGUUGGUGGAAUCAGUUGAAGUGGAAAGAUGAAACUAUCAAGCACUCUUUUACUCCAUAUUUCCAAAUCCGUGAAGCUGAAGCAUAUUCAACAGACACUGGCAGCAUAGAUGAUAUGCAGGAACAACCAGUAUCAAAUUAACUUCUAUCAAUCUUUCAGGUAUUAAUUAACUUUUAUACUAUAUUUGGAAAACCCUUUUCUUUCCUUAAUCCCAUUCUUUUGUGGAAUUUUUUACUCUAUCUAUGCCAAAGUGCAUCAAAGUCUCAACAUCAAAAUAACUUUCAAUGUUUGAUCUAUCAAGUUUGCCCCUUUUGAAGUAACUGUUAUAAAGUUUGCCCAGAAGGGACUUUGAAGGAGGUCUUUUAUUUAAACAUCUAAUGACAUUUCCUUUUGGUUACUUGAGAACUUGAAA
rnacentral:lncRNA from 1 species